GAAAGCAGGUGAAUAUUGAGUCACUUUGAUUGCUUGUGCCCGUGUUUGGGUGAAUAAAAGUGAGGUGGGCCAAAGGCUGUGAAAGAAAUUUCAUUCUGUCUCAGUCCUGGGCAGGACAUGAACCGUUCCUUUUGUCCAGCAUAUUCAUGCUGUGUACACUACCUGCCUCAGUUGUCAGAUUGACUAUGGCAGUAUUGCAGUGCUGUAUUCAUUACCCCUAAUAUAGAAGUUCAAUUCUACAUUACAGUACUUGUUCAGUUUUCUCCAUGUCAUCAUGUAGACACUGUAUCAUCAUGUCUCAUCAUAAGGGAUUUAUUGAGCUCUGGCAAUUUGCACUAGUGACUUGCCCUUUGGAGAGGGGUGGCCACAAGUCCUCCGCAGAUGGUCUCACUGUGCACAAGAGGACCAGCAAGGUUUACAGAGGAUCUGAAAUGCUCAGUAUUCCACUGGUACUUCCCCUUGGCAGAACCAAUCUGGAAGCCAGAAGAAAAGAGCCUGAUGAAUGCAAAUAACAGAGAUCAGUCUCCCAGUUCAUAGAGCUUGAUGAGCAAGUUGAAAAUAUGGUGACUUUGAUAUCAAGGAAAAAGUCUUUAAAAACUGAGGUUUGCUACAGUAACCAAAGAUCUACAGUCCCAGUGGCUUUCCAUAACAGCCACAUGUUCAUCCAGGACCAGCUGCAACCCUUCUAUGUGUUGUCUUUCCUCAAGAACAAAGGCCAACAGAGCAUCACCAUUUGAAGGAAAGAAGAAAGAAGCCCCAUGCCAGCUGCAAAAGCAUCUGUCUGGAAAUGACACACAUUAUUUCUGUCCACAUGUCAUUGGAAAAGGACAUCACAUGUCUGAGAAUGUAGUGAAUGCAUAACUUUCCAUUUCAAGAGGUAUCAUAGGGAGGUAAACCAGAAAAUCUGAGAAACAAAUAUGAGGUGACAUAAAGGGAAGGAGUAAAUAUAGGUGGGCAAACAGCUGUUUUCCACAGGCCACUCUGGCCCUCCAAAAUCCAUCCCUACCCCUUCUAUACAUAGAAAACCUUUAGCCUUUCACCUUGGGAGAUCAACCCUGAAGAUGUAUUAAAAAAUGCAAAUUAAAAAAAUCAUUUAUCAUAUGAGUAGAGUCCCAGGAUAGAGAGCAACCUAUGACAAGAGAAUCUAACUGUGCUGUAAGUAUGUGAAAUAAUUCCACUGACUUGAAUGGAUUAGGGAAGGAACUGACCUGAAUUACUUUGUAAUUGAGCUAAAUCUGUAAGGCUGAAGAUAAAAUGAACAACAUACAACCACUGUAUUCCAGUUGAUAAAGUUGUUUCCCAUGGGGUAUGAGGUAAGAAUUCUAAAAUAACUACAUAUGUAAACAAUUGAACAAUUAAGUAAAUGGAUAACAGAUGGUGGAGGCCAGGUUUCUUGCUGUUAGAAUGAAAG
rnacentral:lncRNA from 1 species